CCACUCAUCCACCAUUGUCUUCUUCCUCAACUUCUUCUUCAUCACCCUAACUCAACAACAACAACAAUUACAACAGCAACAUCAAUUACAACAACAACAACAUCAAUUACAAGAACAACAACAUCAAUUAAAGCAACAACAACAACAUCAUCAUCACCACAAUUUAAAAAAAGAAAUCUGAUGUACAACCUCCAUUUUAAUGGAGCUUUAAGCUCCAUUUUAAUGGAGGAAACUGGACGGGAAUGGGGAGGGAGGUGUUGGACGGGGUGGGGUCAUAAAUAAAAAUGGAGCUUAAAGCUCCAUUAAAAUGGAGAUUGUACAGGAGCUUUAAGCUCCAUUUUAAUGGAGGGAACUGGACGGGAAUGGGAAGGGAGGUGUUGGACGAUUGUACAAGAGCUUUAAGCUCCAUUUAAUGGAGGAAACUGGACGCGGGGAGGGGGAGUUGUUGACCUGGACGCGUGGGGGGAGGAGGGAGCUGUUGGACGCGGGGUGGGGUGGAGUGGGGGAAGAGGGGGGUGAUAAAUUAAAUAAAAAGGAAAAAAUUUAUUAAAAAAAUAAAUAAAAUAUAAAAUUAAAAAUAUUUGACACGUGGCAGCACCUGAUUGGUGCGUGCAUCCACUCUCUUUAUUGUGACUGAGAUUCAACGAAAAAUGGUGUAUUUGCAACGAAAUAAAGAAGAAUUGUGGGGUAAUAGAUCGAAAUUAAAGUUUAAGUGUCUUUUUGCAAAACUCGGACAAGAUCAGUGGUGUAAUUAUGUAUUUACUCAUUUUUUAAAGCUCAAUAGAUGCUUUAGUUAAUCUAAACAUCUUUUUUCGUUAUAGCUUUGUUCGUUUCAUUUUUUGUCGUUAUUUAUUUAUCUUAAAAAGAAUGUUACUUUUUCUUAUUUGAUAACUAUUUAAACACACAAUUUUACUUUUAUUUUUAUUGGUCCCAUUUAAUUAAAAAAAAGAUUGUAGUACAUCUUUAAUAAAGGAUAAUUUAAUAAAUAUCACCAAGUCUUUCUUUAUUUCUUAAACUUCGUGUUUGGUCAAACUCUAACACAUAAAAUGAGACGAAAAAAAUAUUAUUUUCAUUCACUAAAAGUUCUCAACGGCAUAUAAUUUUCCAACAGCAGCCUAUCGAUCUCAUUUGUUUUGUACUUUACUGUUUUCAACACCGAAAGAGUAUAUACUAAAGAGUGUUCGGUUAUGAAAAUUAUUAUCUUUUUACUUUAUAUAAAAUUUUCAAAAGUUUCAGAUUUGAAGUUAGGCUUCUAUUCAUAAUAUUUGCUACAAAUAUUUAGAAUUUAAAUAUCUUCUUAAAAAAGACAUACAAAAUGAUUUAAACAUGCAAUAUAAUCUUUUUUGCAAAAAAACGUUAUAAAGUGAGAUAGAGUUUUGAUUGUUUUUCAAAUUCUAAAACAACUUUAAGUUGUAUUUGAAAUUUUUAUAACCAAACAUUAAGUUUUAUAUAUUUUUCUUUUAAAAAAACAAUUGAAAAUUUUAUGGCCAAAUGAUUGCAUAAUGAAUUUCUCAAAUAUUGGUGCAGUUCCCAUGUAAAAGUUUUUGGGUUAACAAAAAACCCAUUGAAUCCGACCCUGGUAAAUAUAUAAACACUUUUUUAAAAAAAAAAAUUUACAUGAUUGUUAUAAAUAUAUUUACAUUAUAGUGAAUGUCUAUCAAGAUCUACUUUGAUAUCUAUUAGGAUUUGAAGCAUCCAUUUUUUACUCAGACUAGGAGUAAAUUUCCCCUGUAAAUAGAGAGGUUUUGUUCAUUGUAUUUACAAUCUUAUGAUCUCUCAUCCCUCAAGAGAAGAAAUAAGAAUCACUCUCUCUAUUCUCUCUACUCUUCUUCUUUAUUAUUUAGUUAUUUUAUAACACGUUAUCAGCACGAGACUCUGACAAACAAUGUGAGAUUAUAAAUCUGAAGGUGCUUUAUAAUACGUUAUCAGCACGAAGUUUCUUACCAAUUGAGAUCUGUACGAAGUCUUUUACCAAUUGAGACCUGUUCGUACGUGGCUACACAAGUUUUCGAGUCUCUAACUAAUUCAGAUUAUCAGCACGAGACUCUGCCAAAUAAGGUGAGAUUAUAAAUCUAAAGGUCAAGGUUAGUAAUUUCUUAUGUUAUUUGUAUUUUUCUAUUAAUGAUAAAAUUAUUGUUGGAUUUGAGGUCAUCAGUACGAGAAUCUGCCAAACAAGGUGAGAUUAUAAAUCUGAAGGAUUUCAAGGUUAGUAAUUCUUUAUGUUAUCUUUCAUUUGCUACUACUAAUAUAAUUAUUAUUGGAUUUGAGAAAAAAUAAAUGGUUUGGAACCAUUUAUAUUUUAAAUUUAUUUCUCAAGAACAAUAUUAUCAAAAAUGAUGACAAUAUGUUGGGUUCAAGUCCCAUCGAUUCAUGCCUAAGACGCCUUUAUAUGGAUCAAAUAUUGAGUUUGAAUCUCAAUACACCAUAUUGAUGAUAUUUUGAUGGCUAAGGCAAAAUAAUGGGUGUUUGAUGAAAAGUCAUGAAAUUCAACCCAUUGAAUAUGCUCCAUUCCAUGAAGUGAAUGUGGUAGCAAUAUAUGAUAAGUCUAAAAUAUGACAACUUACUUCAUUCUUGAGGUGUAUGUGGUAUUAGUGCAUAAUAUGUCUGAAAGAAGACAAGUGAUUGAAUGCACGAAUAUACGUGAGGAGGGACAAUAUGAUAAUGAUAUUUUCACACGCUUAUAUGAUUAUAAGAUAUGCUAGAGAAAAAUUCUCUACAUUAUAUGUAUGCCUCGAUUUACUUCUGAAGUAGCAAAAUCUUAAAAGAGGUUAUAAGCUAUCAUAACUUGAUAAGCUUAAGGCACGAUUAUAUUUCAUUCCUGUGGAAUGAGAAACUUAUUAAUGCAAACGUGCACUUGAUUGUGAUUGUAUCACAACUCACCUCCGAAAGAGGUUGAAUAAUUUUGAAAUCUACUUCUAAAGUAGUAAAUCUGAAAUUUAUUCAUGUAAUAGUAAAUCUAAAAUUUACUAAAGAAAAAGUACAUGUCAUGGUAAACUUGGAGUUUACUAGAAUAAAAGUUCAUAAAUUGAUAUGAACGAUUGUGACAUCUCGAAGAUGUGCAUGUAUUGAAGAACUAGAAGAUUCUACAAGAAUUAUUUAUGUCGUUUGUUCUCAUGACAAGUUGGUUGGACCAACUAAUAUUGGGAUUGGAUCCCUUCAAAUUUUCAACGCCUAAGGGAUUGUUAAAUAUCUUCCACUAUCAUGGGUACAAUCAUGCAAGACCCCUUUUGGAUCCCAUUGCACAAGGCAUCAACUGUGGUGAUCAGACGAGUGUGAUUGCUCCAAUUGGAAAGACCAUGGUUCCUAGGAAGUAAACGAUUAAUGCAAAGAGUCGUUUAUCUUGAUGGUGAUGGUUUAGCAUUGAAUGUCUUCGAUAAAUAUCUAAACCAUUGUUAAUGAGAACAAAACUUAAUGUAUUGGUCUGAAAUAUGAUAUAUUGCAAUAGCAUUUAUAUGCAUUAGACCAAUAAAUUAUGAUUAUUUUCCCCCCUCAAUUAGUUCAAGGUCGGAAACUAAUUAUUCCAUGUAAUAAUUUUGAUGUGUGGUAUACGAUUAAUGAAUAUACCAUAAUGCACAACGAUGAAUUUCUCAAAGAAGUAGAGGAUGUAUGCUAGUUUUGCUAACAUAAGAGGGAGAUUAUAAACGCUAUGAAAUAUGUUAGGAAUUAUCACCAUAUCCUUAUCCAAAAGGUAAUUCAAGUCAAAUGCUGAAACCAUCUCAUAUUAAGCGCAAGUGUUCUUAUUUUGUGUUCCUAAAAGAUAAAGUCUAUGCAUGCGUGAAGCGUGGUAGACUGAUCGACUCCAAAUAAAAUAGUCCAUGAAAAAUAAGGAGCAAAUAAUCAUAAUAAGAAGGCAAUGAGCUCUUGAAGAGCCUACGACAUACCACUUCAUGAAACCUUAUGAGAGGUUCACGUACCUGAAAAUAAUGAAGUGAUGAGAUCUCAAAUGUUAUGUCGCAUUGGGAACCGAUACAAAAUGAUAUGUCAUCAAUAUUUUGGACACAAUAUUGACGAAAUAUUGUGAAAGAUUAUGAGGAUCUAAAUUCUACGUUAAUUUAAGCAUGCUGACGUAGAAACAUUUAUCAAGUGACAUGAAAGGAUGGAUCUUGGUAAGUGAAAACUUAUUUGAUUUGCAGUCCAUACACUUGAAUAUGUCACAAAUAAAAUGUUGAAUAUUGUCACUUUGACAAAAUUUGUAUGAAAACUUCUUUAAGGAUUCAAAAUAUAAAAGUUUCUGGGAAACUUAUUUAUAAUCNNNNNNNNNNNNNNNNNNNNNNNNNNNNNNNNNNNNNNNNNNNNNNNNNNNNNNNNNNNNNNNNNNNNNNNNNNNNNNNNNNNNNNNNNNNNNNNNNNNNNNNNNNNNNNNNNNNNNNNNNNNNNNNNNNNNNNNNNNNNNNNNNNNNNNNNNNNNNNNNNNNNNNNNNNNNNNNNNNNNNNNNNNNNNNNNNNNNNNNNNNNNNNNNNNNNNNNNNNNNNNNNNNNNNNNNNNNNNNNNNNNNNNNNNNNNNNNNNNNNNNNNNNNNNNNNNNNNNNNNNNNNNNNNNNNNNNNNNNNNNNNNNNNNNNNNNNNNNNNNNNNNNNNNNNNNNNNNNNNNNNNNNNNNNNNNNNNNNNNNNNNNNNNNNNNNNNNNNNNNNNNNNNNNNNNNNNNNNNNNNNNNNNCAUGCUGAGAUAAUAGCUAUUCAUGAAGCAAGCCGAGAAUGUGUAUGGUUGAGGUUCAUGAUACAUCUCAUUCGAGAAAAAUGUGGUGUGAAAUAUGACAAUCUACCCACAAUUUUAUACAAAGAUAAUUCAGCAUACAUAGCACAUCUUAAGGAAGGAUUCAUAAACGGAGAUAGUACGAAGCACAUUUUGCCAAUGCUUUUCUACAUACAUGAGCUACAAAAGAAUGAUGAUAUUAACGUGAAACAGAUUCGUUCAACUGACAAUGUGACUGAUUUAUUCACCAAGUCUUCUCCAAUUACAACUUUUAAGAAGAUGGUGCACAAGAUCGGGAUGCAAAGGUUCAAGGAUGUUCUUAUUAGGGGGAGUUAAUACGCGUUGUACUCUUUUUCUCUUAUGAGGUUUUGUCCCACUGAGUUUUCCUUGUAAGGUUUUUAAUGAGCCAGCCGAAAUGCGUAUUAUUAGAGAUGUGUACACUUUUUCCUUCACUAGUUUUUUUUUCUUACUGGAUUUUUUCGAGUAAGGUUUUAACGAGGCACAUUAUCUACCAAUUAGACAUUCAAGGGGGAAUGUUAUAAAUGUGUUUACAUUAUAGUGAAUGUCUAUCAAGAUCUACUUUGAUAUCUAUUAGGAUUUAAAGCAUCAGUCUUAUACUCAGGCUAGGAGUAAAUUUUCCCUAUAAAUAGAGGGGUUUUGUUUAUUGUAUUUACAAUCUUAAGAUCUCUCAUCCUCAAGAGAAGAAAUAAGAAUCACUCUCUCUAUUCUCUCUACUCUUCUUCUUUAUUAUUUAGUUAUUUUAUAAUAAUGAUAAACUUUAAAAUAAAUGACUUUUAUGUGAUUUUUUUGGUGUGUGUAAUAAACUUUAAAGUUAGAUGAUGUUUAUGUAUUAAAAAUUGUGUGAUAUACUUAAAUUGAAUUAUUAGAAACUUAUCCAAAUUUAUUUUCACGAUCUAACUUUUCAAUUCUUUAAAAUUUGGACCUACCUCGUUAUUUUUUCAAACAAAAAAAUGAAAAAUGAAUUUAUAAAAAUAUAAUACUGACAAAACAUCGGUUUAAUUUCAUAGUUAGAAAAAUAUAACGUAGGAAAAAUAUGAUUAAAUAUAUAUAUGGAUCUUGGAAUGCUUGAAAAGUGGGUCCUACAGAAAUCCAUUUGUCAAUAAAUGAAUGCCUAUGAUUUGGCAUAUCUCAUACAUGAUAAAAAUUUUACCUAACUUGUUUAUUUAAUACUUUCACCAUUCUUUUUAAUUGCUCCCUCAUUUUUUAAGUUAAUUUGUCUAAGUUUUAAGGAUAAACUAGAUUAGUUAAUUUAACUUCUAAAAUUACAAUUUAAAUAUUUAAAAACUACAUGAAGAGUACUAAAAAUCAUAAUUUUUCGAAAUUGGGGUUGGAGUUGGAGUUGAAGUUGAAGUUGAAGUUGGAGUUGGAGUUGGAGUUGGAGUUGGAGUUGGAGUUGUGUUUGGCCAUGAAUAUAAAUUAAAGUUGUUUUUGGAUCAAAUAUAAUUCUGGAAUUGUAUUUGAAAUUUUUAUGGUCAAACACAUCUUGUUUUCAUUUUUUUUCACUAAAGUGAAAUAAUUUUUCAGCAAAAAGAAAAUAAUUUUCAUGGUCAAACGAUUACUAAUAAAUACAACAUAAAAUAUUGAUCAAAAUUUAUAUGAUUGGCUUAAAAAAAAAAAGAAUGCAGUUAAAAAGAAACGAAGGGAGUAGACAAGAAUUUUACAGAAGGAAGGGGACACAACCAAAACCACCAAAUAAAUAACAAAAUAGGGUAUAUAAAGAGAACCAAGAGUCUCUAUGUGUACCCAGAACUACUUAAACUGAACAGAACUUAAAGCAAAAGACUUCCCCAAAACAGAGAUGAAGCAGUGAGUAGCAUGGGGAGAACAUUGAAACAGAGGUCCAAGAAAAGAAAAUCUAUUUAGGAUGGACCCGCGUUGACCACAAUAACGUGGGUGCUCGAGCAGCCAUUAUUUUUGAUGAGGAAUUUAUAUAUAUAUAUACGCCGAUCAAAUCAUCCAAAAAUGGUUUCAUAUUUUCACUCUACGUAUCAUUCAUUUUUAAAAGUGUGAAGCUUGGAAUAGUGAUUUGAACUUGUUGCCUUUCAUUAAAAGUCUUUGAUUUAGAUAAAAUCAUUUUUUCACUAUUUUUUAUUAUUUUAAGAAAUAUUAAAUAUAGACUAUAAUGAAAAAAUAAAAAACUUUCCUAAUAAAAGUUAGAUACCUUUUGUUGAAUCCAAAUAAAUUUAAGAGAAAGUUUUCUUAUUAUGUUAAAUUUUAAGUCUAUGGUAAUUUUUUUUUCUAAUUUUUUUUUGUGGUCGUUGGAUAGCCCAUAAAAAUAGGCACAAAUCUUAAAUAUAGGGAAACACUAAAAGUUAGACGCCUUCUUUGAAUUCAAAUAAAUUUAAGAGAAGGUUUACUUAUUAUGUUAUUAUUUAAUUAUUUUUAAAAUAUUAGUUAGACUUCUAAAACAUAUAGGAAGGAGAAUUAAUUAAUAUUUUCAUUUAUAUGUUUUAUUAGGAAAAAACUCCUAAAAUAACAGAACUAGAAUAGGAAUCAAUUUUAAAAAAUACUCCUAUAAAUAUUAAGAAUCUUCGUACAUAUUCCUACAUGCAUGAAACUUUUGUUGCCGACGAAUCAAGAAUUGCACAACAAAACUUGUAACAUUCAUUGUUGGUCAAUUUUUUUCCUCCAAAAAAAUAGCUUGCGUAAAGGUUUGUCUUAAUCGUAGUUUCGAUGUGUUUUUCACCUUGCUCUUAACAAAAAUAUUUGAAAAAAAAAUUGAAGUUAGAUUUAAUCAUAUUGUUCUAAUAUCUCGAUUAUCAUAUUAUUAUAUCAUAAUUUUAAUUUUGCUAUGGAAUGAAUUUAUGUUGAUAGUUAUGAGUUUGGCAUGAGCACCAAGUCUCCACGUAAUAAGUCGCUUAAUUAAGUUUUAGUUCAUGAUCAGAAUUUGGUUUAGAUUUUUUGCUUUUUCUCAAGCAAUAAUGGUAAAUAUACAAUGAUGAUAGACAAGAAGUUAAGUUGCGUGACACUGAAAAUUGUUCAUUCAGUCUGACAAUGUUAAUAGGUAUAAGAUUCAGCUCUAACAUUGGUACGUGCUCUUGCGUGCUUUGACAUUAUAUUUUGUGUAAUAUUCACAAUUCGGCCAAAGUCAUCUUAUGUAGGUUAUCUAAAGUUGUGUCCAUGGUGCUUCUAAUCGGGUUUCUAUUGGGCUUGUAGCAUAAUAUUGUUCCAAUAUACUUUGGACUUUGCUUAAAUGUUGUCUUUCUAUUUUCGAUUCCUGAUUUUUCUCUAAUAUGAAUUGAUUUGUGCAUUGUUGAACUAAUAUAUCUACUUUUUUUUACUUAAUGAUUUCUGUUUCUUUUUCUUUUUACUCUUCUUGAGGUUAUAGUCUUGAAGCAAGUUAAGAUUUUGGCGUCAAUCAGGAUUCAUGGGUAGCCGGUGAAGUAUGAUUAUAAGGGAUUGUAUCUCUGCGGCUUCAAUCAACUUCAUAAUCAAUGUGCAACUUAUCUAGACAUCAAUUCAAGUCGCAAUGGGACUUAGCAAGGAGUUCCCCUCUAGACCUAAUAGAAGAGAAGGUUUCGAUCCGACACAGAUUCUCAAGUGAUAUUCUUACGUACAAUUGAUAGCGAUUUUACAAGGAUCUUUCGAUGAUUGGAGAAUUUAAUACACAUAAGAAUGCACAAAUGAAUAAGCGGCUCCUACUUAUCAUCAAGGGGAUUUAUGGUAAUGUUAGAGGUAAUUCUACUCUUUUCAUCUCAUAAUUGUAUUAGAUUUUUAUAACUUGAUGCACGAAAAACUUUCUUAAUAUAGGUGUAUUGUAUGUUACCAUCUUCUAUCAUAAACUUUAUUUUUUUUAAAAUAUGAGCCUAUAAUAUCUGUCACACCCCUUUUUCCACUCGAGGGUCGGGUCGAAGGGUCUUUUCAAUUAAAGUGAUGGUUUUGAAUAGGGAUUAUUUUAUUUACAGAGUCGCCACUUGAAAUUGAGUUAUGGUGUUCCAAGUCACCUUUUUGAAUCCGUAGUCAAAAGGGAAUGACUCUUUUAUUUGGUCUGCGAAAAUAGAAGCCCGGGUAAGAAAUUCUAUUGACCGAAGAAAAGGUGUUAGGCACCCCUUGAGUCCCGUGGUUCUAGCACGGUUGCUCUUAUUAACUUAUCUUGGCUUAAACUAUUUUGAUAAUUAUGUUAGUAGACCCUAAAAUCGCUCAUUUUAUUAUACUAAAACUCGUCUAUUAUUUCAUAUUAAAUAAAUCGAUGAAAAUUAAAUAGAAAAAUAUCUGCCAAGGUACAUUAUUGCAUCCUUGAAAUUCUAAAUGUCUCGUAAAGAUGCAUAUGUACUAUUCUUAAUUAAGACGACUAUUAAAACAUGCCGGAAAUUUGUUUGACGUUAAAACAUUGCUAAACCUGGAGUGCUCUAAACUUUAAAAAUAAACUAAAGCAAUUUUAUUUAAAACAAUUAAUUAAUUUAAUAAUAAUCAUUAGUUUCUAUUAAUGACAAUGAAUAAAACAUAACGAAAUGAUAAAAUAAAUAAAAUAUACAUAUCUAUCCAUAUUAUGCUAACUUUAUUAUGAACCUUUACAAAAAUGUACAGUAAAACUAUGCAUAUUAUUUAUUUAUUCUUAGUAUAUAUAUAUAUAUAUAUAUAUAUAUAUCAAAUAAAUAGUUGACAAAAUAUAAUGAAAAAUUAGUCACAACUACUUACUUCUUUAUUAUUUUUUAUGAUUAAUAAUACGUGGUAAACCAUACAUAUAUAAUAAUAAUAAUAAUAAUAAUAAUAAUAAUAAUAAUAACUUAAAAGAAAAGAACAUUAAAAAUUUUAAUCAACUAUAAUUGAAGUUUGAAAAGGAAAAAGACGUUUUCUACUUUAACUAAUACAGAUCUAGUACUUAACAAUUGUGUUUGUUCUUUGCCAUAUUAAAGUGUGAGAGAAAAACAUAACAAAGUAAAUAACCCACAACAAAUAUCAGCGAUUUCAAAAAGGUGCUCGGAGGAUGAGGAAACUUCGGUCAGAUCUGACUCGCCUGUGUUACGGCAGUGACCGGAGAUAUUACUAGUUGUCCACCGGCGACGAAAACCACGGCGACAGUUAUGGUUGAUGUCGCUUGGGUUGACUUUGAUUCAUGAUAAAACUUAUGAAAAUAUGGUAUAAGAUGAGAUAAAAAUCUGUAUUACAAAUUGAACUAAGUAUCUGUGCAAGAAUGUUGUCACCGAAAAACUCAAGCAGGAACUCUGAACUUUAAAUCUUUUUUUUCUCUCUCUUUUCCUGAUCAUUUUUACUCACUUGUUUUUCUCCCUUUUUUUCCUUUCUAUUGGUUUCUCUCAGUUUCUGUGUUGGCUGAUGCAGUGUGUAAUACAGUGUAAAAAAUACGCCUUUUUUUUUUAUCUGAUAUUGUAGAGUCCAUAAAUACAGGGUCUUUUAGGAGGAACAAUUACAAUCUGAUAUGGGAGGGGGAUUUCAAAUUUUGAAAAUAAUAUUAUUAUUAUUUUAUCUUUUUUUGGUCUUAUAAUAAUAACAAAUAAAAAUAAUAAAUAAAAUAAUAACAAUAAAAAUAAUAUAAUGAUAAAUAAUUAAUNNNNNNNNNNNNNNNNNNNNNNNNNNNNNNNNNNAUUUAGUUAUUUAUUUUUUAACUAAAAAAUUAUUAAAAAUAAAAUAAAAAUAAAAAUAAGAUCGGAUCAAAUAUAAAUAUUUAAUAUCGAAAAAUAUAUAUAUUAUAUUUGGGGAGAGUCAAAAAUCACGUGUCUACAUUUUGAACCUCUUUGUUUGAAAUCUCAAAGAGUUUUCAUACAAAAAAGUAGACAAAGAUAUGAUUUUUGAUCCUCCGAUUAUUCUAAAAGAAAAUAAAAAGAAAAAGGAGAUGCGACCGAGUCCUGGUUUUGGACCGUCUAUAUAUCCCAGAUUAUAAGGGAAUCAAGUCACGUGUAGUUCAAAGGUAACAUGGUGAGAGAAAAAGUUAAAGUCAAGUGAGAUUCCGUCGAGUUUUCGGUUGACGACUUCUUCCUUUUACAUUCAGAUAACUAACAAAAAAUGAAAAAUACAAAUGAAAAUUGUAAUCUCUAGAAUCUUGAUUCUACUUUUCGCGACUUGAUUUUGAAAAUUCACCCUAUUCUUCAGGCGGUCUCCUGACUUGUUAUUUCUUCAUCCUGUUCUUCAGGCGGGCUCAGAUGCCGCUUGAAUUACUAAAACAAGGAAGUACGUCUCAAUGCCACUUGAAUUACCAAACCAAGGAAGUGUGUCUCCUUACCAAUGUCGCUUGAAUUACCAAAACAAGGAAAUGCCUUUCCUUAUCGAUGCCGCUUGAAUUACCCAAACAAGGAAGUGCGUCUCCUUACAAAUACCUCUUGAAUUACCCAAAAUAAGAAAAUGCGUCUCCUAACAAAUGUCUCUUUAAUUACCCAAAUAAGGAAUCACGUCUCUUUACAAAUAUUGCUUGAAUUGUCCAAUCAAAAAAGUGCAUCUCCUUACAAAUGUCGCUUGAAUUACCCAAACAAGGAAGUGGAUCUCCUUACCAAUGCCGCUUGAAUUACCCAAAUUAGUAAGUGCGUCUCCUUACAAAUGCCGCUUGAAUUACCCAAAUCAAGAAGUUUGUCUCCUUAAAUGUUGCUUGAAUUGUCUAAACAAAGAAGUGCGUCUCCUUACAAAUGCCGCUUGAAUUACCAAACAAGGAAAUGCGUCUCCCCACAAAUGUUGCUUGAAUUACCCAACAAGGAAGUGUGUCUCCUUACAAAUGUUGCUUGAAUUACCCAAAUCAGGAAGUGCGUCUCCUUACAAAUGUUGCUUGAAUUGUCUAAACAAGGAAGUGCGUCUCCUUACAAAUGUCGCUUGAAUUACCAAAUAAGAAAUGCGUCCCAAUGCCACUUGAAUUACCAAACCAAGGAAGUGCGUCUCCUUACCAAUGUCUCUUGAAUUACCAAAAUAAGGAAGUGUGUUUCCUUAUCGAUGCCGCUUGAAUUACCCAAAUCAGAAAGUACGUCUCCUUACAAAUGCCUCUUGAAUUACCCAAAUCAGGAAGUGCGUCUCCUUACAAAUGUUGUUUGAAUUGUCCAAACAAGGAAGUGUGUAUCCUUACAAAUGUAGCUUGAAGUGCGUAUCCUAACAAAUGUCUCUUUAAUUACCCAAACAAGGAAGUGCAUCUCCUUACCAAUGUCGCUUGAAUUACCCAAAUCAGAAAGUGCGUCUCCUUACAAAUGCCGCUUGAAUUACCCAAAUCAGGAAGUACGUCUCCUUACAAAUGUUGCUUGAAUUAUCCAAACAAGGAUGUACGUCUCCUUACAAAUUUUGAUUUAAUUGUCCAAACAAGGAAGUGGGUCUCCUUACAAAUGCCGCUUGAAUUACCAAACAAGGUAGUGCCUCUCUUUACGAAUGCCUCUUUGAGAAAUUACUGCCUUUGAUGUUUAGACUUUGAAAUCAUUGAUUUGAAGGUAACAUGUGUUCCUGAAUAAUGAAUUAACUACAAGAAACAUGAUCGAUGUCACCGAAAACUCGAAUAGAAAUUUACCUCAACACUCAAUUCACAACUCUUUCUUUUCUUCAACUUGUUCUUCAGGCGAUCUCCUGGAUUUUCUUUUUUUUGAUUUUUUAAAAUAUGUUCCAUGAUUGUGAUUGCUAAACAUGUGUAGCAAUAUUGCCUCUUUCAUUUGCAAAAAUGAGGAAUUGUAUCUUUUAAUAUUUAGGCUUUGAAGUUCUUGAUUUGAAAGUAACAUGUUUUCUGUUUCAUCAAAGAAAACUUGUGAGUUCAAAAACAUGGUGGCAGGUUUGUGGCUUUGGCUUUCGUGGCAAUCACUCUUGCUCUCCAUCACCAACUUGAUGCAUCAUUAACCCAAACUCAUAUUAUUAAAAGUGACUUUGAAACAAACACAGUAUUUCUACUUUGCUAUGCUCAUCAAAUAAACCCUUUGAACCCUGGUAUUUACUUGAGUUCCCAGACUCGUCGGUUGAUAAAACUUUCUGCAUGCCUUAUUUCGGCUCACAAUCAUGUCUCUUUCAUGUGUUGGUAGUAAGUUUUGAGAUCAUUUCUCACAUAUUUUGAAAUGGACUUAACUCAAGGACACGAGAAAAAUGACAAUAAUUUUUAUCUAAUGACAAAGAUACCAAAAAAAAUCAAAAAUAGAAAAAUAAAAAGAAAAGGGAAAAACAAUAGGCAUUUUUUUUUCAAAACAACAAAAGAAAAACUUCUUUGGGUGUGGUAACCGAUUCCAGCAAUCAUGACAUGCAUUUUGAAUUAAACAACCUGAUCUAUCCACACUAAUCAUUACAACUCUUGUUCACUUAUUGAGUUUGAAAUGAAAUCAAUCUUGAAUAUGUUCCCUCUAGAUCACAAUCCUCCUUCGGUUAGUGGCACCUCAAUGGAUUUUUAUCAACGCCUAUCUCAUUUUCAUUUCUUUCUCAGCUCAAUGUCGCCUUAUGGUGCCCAAAAAGGUUUUCACCAAUCAGACUCUCUCAUUUUUACUCAUUCAUUUUUCAUCAUUUUUUUUUGAAAAUAAUGCCCAAUCACGAAACAUCAUGCACCCAUAACAUGUUUAGCCUUGACAUUCUCAAAGAUCGAUCUGAAGGUCUUUCUUUGGUUGUAACUUGGCUUUUGGAAAGGAUUAGAAAGAAAGGUCGGCAUGAGGCUCAAAAAUUUACAUAAUAUUAAGUGAAACAUACAACUUUUGGAAUCGACUUUUUAAGGAAAUAAACUUUGUCCCAGUUUCAUUUCAUUCUGGGUAAUUUGAAUUUUCUUUUGGUUAGACCGAACCCCAGAGUAGGAUUGCCUACGUAUCUUGUCACAGCAAGAAUCAAGUCAAACGUAGUUCAGGAAUCUUGUUCUUUUGCUUGAUUUUCAUUCUUUUUUUUCUUGACUUUUCUCUCUUUUUCUUUUUCUUCUUUUUUUUAGAGAGAGAGAUAUUUUUUCCGACUCCAUUUUUCUUGACACUUUUCUGACUCUUCUUUUUCUUGACACUUCUUUUUUCGACUUUUUCAAAUUCUAUUUUGAUUUCAAAAGAGGGAUAUAAAAGAAAUAAAACAAAAACUCAAAAGGGAUAACAAAGGAUGACACAACAUUUGGAUAGCAGAAUGAAAUGCCUUCGUCAUAUCAAUCCUUAAAAACACAAGUACAUAACCUGUAAUCUGAGAGUAGAACAUGAAGAUCAUAUGCAUUUUUUUCAAUAUUGAUCGUGACUAAGCUCAUGUACUUGCUUCACUUCUUUCAAACUUGUGAAACAUACAAGUCCACUUGUGUUGUACUUUCUCCACAGGAAUGACUAAUGUCUCUUUGGGAGCUAACUUUCUUUCAUUUUUCCUGACGAUGGAGAUUAUAUAUCCUCUGAUUGAUCCCAUUGAAAAUGCUUGAAUUAUAUCUUCUAAUUGAUGAUCAAGUCAUUUUUUAUUUGCAAAGCGAUUGCUCCAAUUUCAUCUAUAUUGCGACUUGACUUAUUCUCAAACUAUUUGAAAUCUUUUGCUUAUAUUCUCAAAUGCUUCUUCUACUCAAAAGGGAUAACAAAGGAUGACACAACAUUUGGAUAGCAGAAUGAAAUGCCUUCGUCAUAUCAAUCCUUAAAAACACAAGUACAUAACCUGUAAUCUGAGAGUAGAACAUGAAGAUCAUAUGCAUUUUUUUCAAUAUUGAUCGUGACUAAGCUCAUGUACUUGCUUCACUUCUUUCAAACUUGUGAAACAUACAAGUCCACUUGUGUUGUACUUUCUCCACAGGAAUGACUAAUGUCUCUUUGGGAGCUAACUUUCUUUCAUUUUUCCUGACGAUGGAGAUUAUAUAUCCUCUGAUUGAUCCCAUUGAAAAUGCUUGAAUUAUAUCUUCUAAUUGAUGAUCAAGUCAUUUUUUAUUUGCAAAGCGAUUGCUCCAAUUUCAUCUAUAUUGCGACUUGACUUAUUCUCAAACUAUUUGAAAUCUUUUGCUUAUAUUCUCAAAUGCUUCUUCUUCAUCGUAUUCAACCUCUUUAUUCAUUAUUUCAUAAUUAGAUUGGGUUUUAAAAUUUGAUUGAAAAUUCUUCAUGCAUGUCAUAUUAUUAGAAUCGGUAUAGAAAGAACUGUAUAAUAGAAAAUAUAUAAGUAAAUAUUAAACACAAAAUAAAAUAAAGAAAAAUUGUGUUUCAUUAAAAAAAUAAAGAUAGACAAAGUUUUAACCUAAAAUACCAAAGUAAAAAUCUAAAUUACAACCCUAGAACGAUUCGAAUUGCAGAAAGACAAACAAACAAACUACCAAGACUCUUUCAUAGUAGGGAGAGGAGUGACCUCCCAAUUGUUAAGCUUGACAUCUUAGCCACUGGUUUGCUUAUCAGCAUGACUAGAACUUCCACCACUGUCCAACACAUUUUCUUCAACAAAUAAAUUUUGGAUCCCCAUGCUUAACUCAUUGUUUCUCACGUAUUGUGCAUUACCGUGUGUUGAUGAAGGAUUCCGUGUGACACUCGUAGUGUCAAUGUUUUGCACUAUAAUCAAUUUUUCUUGAAUCAUCCUUUCUAUUUCUCUUUUCAAAGCACGACAAUCCUCAAUACCGUGACCCUGAAUAUCAGAAUGAUAUGCACAUCGUACAUGAGGAUCAAAAUUUCUUAAAUGUGGAACAGGAGUACACUCAAGGAAAAGAGUGAUUAUGUCCAACUUUCUCAAUCCCUGGAAUAAACUGACAUACGACUUCUCAAUUGGUGUAAAAUUAUUCUUUGACUUUCUCCUCUUUGCAAACUUCGGCCUUGAUUGAAACUUGGACUUAGAAGUUCUUUAAUAAAUAUGUGGGGGCUCAGGACGAUGUUGAGGAACCGGUGCAUGCCAUUGCGGAUAAGAAAAUGGAUGAGCAUACAACUGUGCAUUGUUUAAAAGAUAUUGAGAAAGUGGAAUGAAAUAUCUUGAAUUUUCCAAAGAGGAACCUUGUUGCAUGUGAGCAUAUGAAUUUGAUGUGCAAGCUCGGGAUUGAGACUGACAAUUGUCGAGCCUUAUUUCGAACCAGUCGAAACAGCACACGACGUAUGAUGGUAUGUCGUGACUUUUGGGAUUUGAAUUUUUUUUUUAGAGUCGCCAGCUAACUUUUAGGAAAAUUAGGAAAAUUAUUUUUACUGUAAAACUCUGUUUUAUUCUAUCGAAAACGUUUUAGAGAUUCUGAGUAAGAGUUUUGAUUACUCGAAAGGAAGGUGUUAGGCACCCCUCAGAGCCUAUCCGAAGAUAGUCCUUACGCUUAGUUUAGGAAAAUGUUAGGAAAAUUUUUAUUCAUUAUUUGCUUAAACAGUGAUAGCUUUGAAGAAUUUCUUGUGUGAAGAUUAGGUUUAAUUGUAUUGUUUUGAUAUCUUUAUUAUCUUAUUGUUUUAUUUGAAUUUACAGAUGCUAGAUGAAUGUGGGUCGACUUUGAAUUUUUUUUUUAGGUAAAGGUUAGGUUUAAUUGUAUAUCAUAAUAUUUCUAUUAGUUUGUUAUUUUGUGGUAGUUUACAGUUCGUAGAUGAAUCUCGAUCGGUUUUAAAAAAUUUUGUGCGUAAAAUUUAAGUUUAAUUGUAUUGUUUUGAUAUCACUUUUAGCGUAUUAUUUUGUUGCAGUUUACAGGUGAUAGAUAAAUGUUGGCCGACUUUGAGAAUUUUUCUUAUGUAAAGGUUAGGUUUAGUUGUAUUAUUUUAAUAUCUCUAUUAUCGUAUUAUUUUGUUAUUGUUUACAGGUGGUAGAUGAGUGUCGGGCGACUUUGAUAAAAAUUUAUAUGUAAAGAUUAGAUUUAAUUGUAUUAGUUUGAUGUCUCUAUCAUUGUAUUAUUUUGUUGCAAUUUAUAGAUGGUAAAUGAAUACCGAUCGACUAUUAAAAAAUAUUUUUGAUAAAGAUUAGGUUUAAUAAAUAAAUUCUCCAUCUUUACAUACUCAAAAGAUAUUAAAUUUAAUUAUUUUAUUCAUAUUUAUUAUUUAAAUAAAUAUUCUAUUUAGUGUAAUAUUAAACUCAUUAAAGUGAGGUGCACGCGCAAGGCUCGUACACCUAAACUAGUAAUAAUAAAAGGUGGCAAUUAGUUUAGAGAGAAAGAAACAUAGGAAUAUGUGGGGACUAAAAGUUAAAAGAUUUUACUAUUCAUAAAGGACACAUUUUGUCACUUCAUGAUAUUGGUGUUCUCCAUGCUUUGCCGUUAUUGUCUAGUCUUUCUUUAUCAUUAUUUUAUCCCUUUUUUUUUUAGAAAAUAAACAUGAAGUUAAUUAGUUUAUUUUAGAGUUAAUACAUAAAAAUGAUCUUAAACUUGUCACCAAAUUAUAACUUUGACCUUAAACUUUGACAGUGCACAAAUAUGACCAUUAACUAUUCAAAACUGCACAAAUAUGACCUCCAAUCCUACGUGGCAAAAUGCGUGUUCAACACGCAAAACUGGGCGCGUCCAGCUUAAAAUCUAAGGGCAUAAUACAUAAAUAUGACCUUAAACUUUGACAGUGCACAAAUAUGACCUUUAACUAUUCAAAAUUGCACAAAUAUGACCUUUAAAUGACUCUUCACUAUUAUUUUCAGCUCAAAAAUAAAAAUGACAGCUAAUUUCUUUUGUCAUUUCAGAAAAAGAGUAAUAUUGAAGAUUUAUUAAUUAGGCGGGUCAGCCUCAUACGAAAAAAUCGAGCGGGUAUGUAUAUAUAUAUUAUAAAGCAGAGGAGGGACAGACCUACGUGGUUGCCAUGGGGUUCACUCGAACCUCCUCGGUAAAAAAAAUACGUUGCAUAUAUAUAAGAUAGAAAAUGUAUAUUUAUGUACGUAUAUUAAUGUUGAACCACAUGAAACAAGACACUUAGAUAGCCCAGUGAUUUUAUUUGCUCUUCUUGGGCGCUUCCUUCAGCCUACUGUGCGGGUUCGNNNNNNNNNNNNNNNNNNNNNNNNNNNNNNNNNNNNNNNNNNNNNNNNNNNNNNNNNNNNNNNNNNNNNNNNNNNNNNNNNNNNNNNNNNNNNNNNNNNNNNNNNNNNNNNNNNNNNNNNNNNNNNNNNNNNNNNNNNNNNNNNNNNNNNNNNNNNNNNNNNNNNNNNNNNNNNNNNNNNNNNNNNNNNNNNNNNNNNNNNNNNNNNNNNNNNNNNNNNNNUGCUGCUAUAGAAAUAAAUAAAAUAAUAAUAAUAAUAAUUUAAAAUUAAUAAAAAGUUAGGUGUUGCUACUAUAGAAAUAAAUAAAAAAAUUAUAAUAAUAAUAAUAAUAAUAAUAAUAAUAAAAAUGACGUCGUUUUAACACAAAAAGUAAAACUUUGACAGUGCACAAAUAUGACCUUUAACUAUUCAAAACUGCACAAAUGUGACCUCUCUCCAAGUCAUCCCUUUUAACGACGUGGCACCGUGUGAUUGGAUUACCUUUCCACAUAGGCACGAGUGAGACUCACGUAUGGGGUUGCAAAAUUGGAGGUCAUAUUUGUUCAGAUUUUGAAUAGUUAAAGGUCCUAUUUGUGCACUAUCAAAGUUUAAGGUCAAAGUUAUAAUUUGAUGUCAAGUUUAGGGUCAUUUUUAUGUAUUAAUUUUUUAUUUUAUUUAGAAAAGGGAAAAGUCAUUAUUUCCACCCUACACUAUACCCGAAAAGUCGAAGAUACACUUAAACUAUUGAAGUGACCUAAUACACACCUAAACUAUUUAAAAGUAAAUUUUUUUACACCCUAAGGCACAUACAACCAGUCUCAUGCUGGGAGGUGUUCUGCACUCGCCACACGUCAUCACUAUUCACUGCCACGUCAGAUAUUAUGUGAAAAUUAUAAUAAAUAAAUUUCAUGUCAUUAUUAUUGUUUCUUCCUCACUAUACAUCAUCAAUUCACCAUUGAAGAACCACUAUUGAAGCUAUUAUCACCCACAUCUCCAUCACAAUUAUUUUCACAAAAUACCAUCAAAUUUAAAGUUACUCCCAAAUAUUCUUACUACUAAAAUCUGCAACAAUGUUUUUACUAGAUUUUUAUUUUUACCAUAAUUGUAGAUCUUUCAUGGGAGAUAACUUGUUCAUAUUUAUUUUUCUCCUUUUGUUAAUAAAUUAUUUAUUUUUGUUUCAUCACUAUCAAAAACACACAAAUUUACUUAACAACUCUCAUUUUCACUAUAAUAAUGCUAAAAAAGUUCAAAUCUUUACAAGAGAAAUUUAAGAUGAUCCUCAAAAAAUCAAGAUAAAAAAUUGCAUAUUAAUUUUCUUUAUAAGAUCCACCACAAAAAUUAUGCCACCACCAUUGUUAUUAUCGAAAUUCACAACAACAAUCACCAUAAAUUUUUGCAUUCACCAUCAAAAUCACAACAUUAUCAUUUUCAAUCAUCAAAAAUAAAAACAUACCCACCACUCAUUUUUUCAUCAAUGACCAACUUCACCACUAAAUAGUGAAGAAUAAGCACUCAAUCAGUGAGAAAAAUAGAUCUAACGAAGUAAAAUGACUGUGAUAAGAAAAAUGGAGAAGAGAAAAAGGAUAAAAUGAGAAGAAGAAGAAGAAGAAGAAGAAGAAGAAGAACAAGAAAUGUUGCCACUUGCGGAGAGGAGGCUAUGCAAUUUUUUUUUCUUUUUUUUUCUUUUCUAUUUUGAUUUUAUUCCAAGAAUAAGCAAUGUUCAUGGAAGAUCUGCAACUAAUACUUCCUACAAUAUCUAUUAAACAAUAAAGAGAUAAAAUUUUAAGUAUUGAGCUUAAAUUGAUUUUCUUGUUUUCUAGAAGAAGAACUUUACCUUGCAACUUCUUUAAGUUUUUUUAUUGGUAAAAAGGUCCACGUGGCUGUAUUUUAAAAUAAAAAAAUAAAAAACACGCCUGUUUUCUUUUUCUUUUUAAUUUGUUGCCACAUCAUUUUCUAGGGUAUAAAUAAAUUCACUUCUAAAUAGUAUAAGUGUGUAAUAGAUCGUCUCAAUAAUUUAGGUAUGACUUCGACUUUUCGGGUAUAGUUUAGGAUGAAAAUGAUGACUUUUCCCUUUAGAAAACUUUAUGCACAUACAUACACAUAUUAUGCCAUAGUUAUAUGUAAAAAAAGAGUUAAUACAUAAAAAUGACCCUAAACUUGACACCAAGUUAUAACUUUGACCUUAAACUUUGACAGUGCACAAAUAUGACCUUUAACUAUUCAAAACUACCAAAUAUGACCUCCAAUCCUAUGUGGUAAAACGCGUGUUCAACACGCAAAACUGGGCGCAUCCAGCUUAAAAUCUAAGGGCAUAAUACAUAAAUAUGACCUUAAACUUUGACAGUGCACAAAUAUGACCUUUAACUAUUCAAAACUACCAAAUAUGACCUCCAAUCCUAUGUGGUAAAACGCGUGUUCAACACGCAAAACUGGGCGCAUCCAGCUUAAAAUCUAAGGGCAUAAUACAUAAAUAUGACCUUAAACUUUGACAGUGCACAAAUAUGACCUUUAACUAUUCAAAACUACCAAAUAUGACCUCCAAUCCUAUGUGGUAAAACGCGUGUUCAACACGCAAAACUGGGCGCAUCCAGCUUAAAAUCUAAGGGCUAUACUAAUAAUAAAAAAAUCAAAGUUUUAAUAAAACUUUAUUAAAUUAAUGUUAUCAAAUAUAGUAGUAGUACUAUAUUAAAUUAACGUUAUCAAAUUAACGUAAUUAAAAUUUUAUGAAAUUAACGUUAUUAAAAAGUUAUUAAAUUAACGAGGGGCGGACCUACGUGGUUUCCAUGGGGUUCACCCAAACCCCCUUGGUAAAAAAAUUACGUUGUGUAUAUAUAUAUAUAUAUAUAUAUAUAUACAUAUAAGAUAGAAAAUAUAUAUUUAUGUACGUAUAUUAAUGUUGAACCACAUGAAACAAGACACUUAGAUAGCCCAGUGGUGUUAUUUGCUCUUCUUGGGCGCUUCCUUCAGCCUAUUGUGCGGGUUCGAUCCUGCUAGUAGCUGUUUUUUUUUAAAUUAAAAAAAAAAGCUAAGUGCUGCUGCUAUAGAAAUAAAUAAAAUAAUAAUAAUAAUAAUUUUUUAAAAUUAAAAAAAAGUUAGGUGCUUCUACUAUAGAAAUAUAUAAAUAAUAAUAAUAAUAAUAAAAACGACGUCGUUUUAACACAAAAAACAAAACUUUGACAGUGCACAAAUAUGAUCUUUAACUAUUCAAAACUGCACAAAUAUGACCUCUCUCCAUGUCAUCCCUUUUAACGACGUGGCACCAUGUGAUUGGAUUACCUUUUCACGUAGGCGCGAGUGAGACUCACGCAUGGGGUUACAAAAUCGGAGGUGAUAUUUGUUUAGGUUUUGAAUAGUUAAAAGUCCUAUUUGUGCACUAUCAAAGUUUAAGAUCAAAGUUAUAAUUUGGUGUCAAAUUUAGGGUCAUUUUUAUGUAUUAACUCAAAAAAAAAAAAGACUACUUGAAAUCAUCAUUGAAUUUAAAAUCAUUAGUAUCAGAUUUUACUAUAUAUUUUUUUUUGAGAAAAGAGUCUACUAACAACAAAUUUCAAAAUCUAUCAAAAAACUUUGAAUCAAUUGGGUCAAUAAAUUUUGAAUAUCAGAUAAACAUAUAUAAAACAGAUUUUGGGAAUACAAAUUACACAUAAGAGAUUCCAUGGACCAAAUGAUAUCCUCAGUGCAUCAUUUAGAGCAAACAUAAUUUCUAAAUAUUCUUUGUGCCAAUUAUGGGUCAUUGUCUUAGAAAAAGAAGAAUAAUAUGUACAAAUGAAUGGAUCCAACCAAACACCUAAUCUAAAUCCAUAGACAAAAGAGGGAAUCAAUUAACACCUAACACUAGUUUCUGUUUCGUCAUUUUCUACAAGAUUUGGAAGAACAUUUUUUUAAAAAUCCAACAAAAUAGACAACAAACCAAAAAUUCAAGAUAAAUAAAUAGAUAAAUACGCACCUUUUGUGGUGCAGCUAAACUGGAGCUCCGACGUCAAGGUUCUCUGGCGGAUUCAACUCCAAGGAUUUCGAUUACCUGUGCUCUAAUUUGCUCUACUUUCACUCUUUUUAACACUAGUUUUUCAUUCUCUUUCUUCUAAUUUUCGACCUUCAAAAUUUGUUCCCAAAUUCUUUUCUAAAAAAAAACUUCAUUGUCUUUUUUUUCAAGUUUUCCCUUUUUCCGAUUUUCCACCCCUUUCUCUUAGAUCUUCAACCCUUUUUUUUCGCUCUUGUUAAACACCCCCAUUUUUUUUUUUAUCUUCUUCUGAUUCUUUCUAGUUUUUCCCCAGCCUGAAACUUCUCAAGAUCUUUUAAACACACUUUUUUUUUCUUAAUCUUGAACCCCUUUUCUGUUUUUCCAACCCUUCCCUCAAUGGGUGAAGAACACCCAUAUUUAUAGGUGCCAAACCCGAACUUCAAAGUCCGGAUUUGAAACCUUGAAAUAAAAAAAUAGGAAGGAGGGAGGAUGAAAAAUUUUAAUUCAACAAAAGGAUCUUCCAAAUCUCAGCUCUUUCCAUGCCAUUCAUGGCGGACUAGAAAAUGAAAGCCUAUUAUAACACCAAUUUGGGUCUAUUUUUCCCUGAUCUUGAAGGAUUCGUGAAUUGGAGGGUCGAUUUUAGAGAUAUUUUCGCAGGGUAGCGACCGGCGGCCAGCUAGCCAUAGGAGUGCUAGGGUUACGGUUUUGGUUUAAGGGAGAAGGGGAGAAAGAAGAGAGAGAAAAAGAGUUUUUGUUUUUGUGUUGAUUUGGGAAAGGAGAUGGAGAGAAGACGACGGUUUUUGUGGGAAAAGAGCAAUACGUGUGCCUCUGCUUUGGCAGACACGUUAUUUAUUGCAUUGGUUUGAAAAAAUAUUGACUAAUUUUGAUCCGUC
rnacentral:lncRNA from 1 species